rnacentral:rRNA from 1 species
GCAGUCGCCGCGGGAAUACGUAGGGCGCAAGCGUUAAUCGGAAUUACUGGGCGUAAAGCGCACGCAGGCGGUCUGACAAGUCAGAUGUGAAAUCCCCGGGCUUAACCUGGGAACUGCAUUUGAAACUGUCAGGCUGGAGUCUUGUAGAGGGGGGUAGAAUUCCAGGUGUAGCGGUGAAAUGCGUAGAGAUCUGGAGGAAUACCGGUGGCGAAGGCGGCCCCCUGGACAAAGACUGACGCUCAGGUGCGAAAGCGUGGGGAGCAAACAGGAUUAGAUACCCCUGUAGUCCCUGUCUCUUAUAC